UCCGUAAUGGUCUAGUGGCUAGGAUUUGUCGCUCUCACCGACAAGGCCAGGGUUCGAUUCCCUGUUACGGAA
rnacentral:tRNA from 1 species